GACGAACGCUGGCGGCGUGCUUAACACAUGCAAGUCGAACGGAAAGGCCCUGCUUUUGUGGGGUGCUCGAGUGGCGAACGGGUGAGUAACACGUGAGUAACCUGCCCUUGACUUUGGGAUAACUUCAGGAAACUGGGGCUAAUACCGGAUAGGAGCUCCUGCUGCAUGGUGGGGGUUGGAAAGUUUCGGCGGUUGGGGAUGGACUCGCGGCUUAUCAGCUUGUUGGUGGGGUAGUGGCUUACCAAGGCUUUGACGGGUAGCCGGCCUGAGAGGGUGACCGGCCACAUUGGGACUGAGGUGCGGCCCAGACUCCUACGGGAGGCAGCAGUGGGGAAUAUUGCACAAUGGGCGGAAGCCUGAUGCAGCAACGCCGCGUGCGGGAUGACGGCCUUCGGGUUGUAAACCGCUGUCGCCUGUGACGAAGCGUGAGUGACGGUAAUGGGUAAAGAAGCACCGGCUAACUACGUG
rnacentral:rRNA from 1 species